AUAUGGUUUUCUUCUUCUUCAAGGAGAAUCCAAGUCCGCCAUUAAAUUAACCCAGUUCCUCUCUCCCUCUGAGAAUUGGGAAUGGCCGCCGCCUUGGCUAGUACUAUUUCGCACCAUCGUCUCUCUGUAAAUUCUCUACUACAAAGUCCUUCUUGUAGACUUGGAGCAUUUACCAGAAGCCGAAACCUCCAUUGCCCAGUCAGCUUCGAUUUCGUUCCAAAAUCAACUCCUCAAAAGAACACCAAUACUUCGCUUGAAACUUCAGCUCAAAAGACACAAAAGCCCUCCCUUCCUGGUAAGCCAGUCGGUAGUCCAGAUCCGGACCCUCCUCCCGGUUCUUCUCAAUCCAAUCCGUUCUCGGUUCUCAUUCGCCAGAUAAGAAGAGACGGAUUUAAGGUUGACGAAUUGGGAGUAGAGAUUUUGUCAAUUGCUUUGCCUGCUGCGUUGGCCCUUGCUGCUGAUCCUCUCACUUCGUUGGUUGAUACUGCUUAUGUCGGUCACUUAGGCUCAGUUGAACUGGCAGCAGUCGGUAUAUCUGUUUCGGUGUUCAACCUGGUAUCCAAAUUAUUUAAUGUUCCCCUGCUCAACAUAACAACAUCUUUUGUUGCUGAAGAGCAGGCAUUGGUUAGUGAGGGAGGUGAUGGUUAUAUUUCAGAUGAUAUGAGGAAUGGGCCCCAAGGCAAGAAACUCCUUCCAUCAGUGUCAACUUCAUUAGCACUUGCUGCUGGCAUUGGCAUAGCAGAAGCCGUUGCACUCUCUUUUGGCUCGGGUUUCCUGAUGAAUAUCAUGGGUAUACCUGUUGAUUCACCCAUGCGAAUACCGGCUGAGCAAUUCCUUACUAUGAGGGCAUUUGGUGCUCCACCCAUUGUAAUCGCACUUGCUGCACAGGGAACUUUUCGUGGAUUUUUUGAUACGAAGACACCUCUAUAUGCCAUUGGUAUUGGGAACUUACUGAAUGCAAUAUUGGGUCCAAUUUUGAUAUUUUCCCUUGGUCUAGGCAUCGGUGGCGCUGCAGUGGCUACUGUGAUUACUGAAUAUCUUAUUGCUUUUAUCCUUCUGUGGAAGUUGAAUGAGAAAGUGCUGCUGAUCUCUCCAAGCAUUGAUGGUCGACGAGUUGCCCGCUAUCUAAGAUCUGUCAAGGAAUUUGCAGGUGGUCUUCUCAUUGGCAGGACCAUUUCUGUGCUUGUAACAAUGACGCUAGCAACAUCUAUGGCAGCUAGGGGGGGUCCUACACAGAUGGCUGGUCACCAAAUUUGCAUACAAGUUUGGUUGGCAGUAUCUUUGCUCACUGAUGCUUUAGCCCUUGCUGGUCAGGCUCUUCUUGCCAGUGGCUAUUCUCAAGGAAAUUAUAAUCAAGCACGUGAAGUGAUUUUCAGAACUCUACAGAUUGGUCUAGCAGCAGGAAUUGCUUUGGCUGUUAUUUUAUUUCUUGGGUACGGAACAUUUUCUAGAUUAUUCAGCACAGAUUCUGAAGUUCUGGAAAUUGUCUGGUCUGGUAUUUGGUGAUGAAGGAGAAUUCUUCACUUUUGUCAAAACAAAGAACAAAGUAGUAUGAUGGGAAGAAUGAGGUCAAUAUUGAUACUUAUAGACCUGUCUGAGUACGAACUUAGCACUUUGGAGUUUGGACCCACCCAUAAGUUUUGCUGUGCUUACUGUGUCUAAUCAAAUUGUUUUGCUUGUUUUUGGCUUACGUGUAGGAUUGAUUUAGUGAGAGUUGGCUUUGCAUGUCCUAUUUUCGGUCCUUUUUGGCAUGUAGCCUGAAUCUUGUCAUGACAUACAUAGUAUGGUUUUGGAUACUGCCAAUCUUGCCAGUCAGUUCCUGUGUGAGGGUCCAACCAAAUACAAGAAAUGGUAAAAGGGUAUAAGUGAGUGUAAGGAUUGGUGAAGUAAGUCAUGGACAUUUAUUUAUAUUUGUACAAUGUGACGUUUGUAUGUCUUCAAAGUACCCCAGGAACAACUUUUUUGGGUACUUUCUCUUUUCGAUAAAUUGUGUUGCCAUGUUAUUAACUUUUUGGGGGAGAGUGGAAUUGAACCUUGUUCCUCGUGCAACUUUUUUGGGUACUUGUACCCAUAGAAAUUGACAACUACAAAAAUUGGGGUCUUUACGGAUCAUUAUGUUUGACAAUAUGAAAAAGUCCCCCAGAGUGAUUGACAGGCAAUUGUAGGUAGGAGAAAUUUAGAUGUGUUGAGGGUUGAUGUGAGCUUGAGUUGAGGAGGAUUCAUUCGGAUCAACAUGAGAGUCCUACAUUGCAUUGCCAGAAUCCAUGUUGUAUAUUUGAAAGAGGUUGACCUCCUUGCUUCUCUCAUGGUACAAUCCUUUCCCGCUAAGCUUCCUUUCUCCUGGGUCCAUAGAGACAAAAUUAGGACUGAUGCCAACAGUUCAUCACGGAAGAAAGGACUCACUGUGCCAGAAUCACUAAGAAAGACAAUUCUAAUACUAACUAAUAGAAUAGAAAAUACUGAUAGAAUAGAAAAGAACCUUAAGGGUUGGUGACUAUAUGACAAUUUGUUCAAUGAAGGUCUUUUUAAUUCUCUGUCUGUCAUUUUUAAUAGUUUUGUUAGUGAACUGCACAUGAAAUUUUAGGAUAAUCACUCUAACUUUGAAAUCUUUAAAGUAAUUGUUAGUGUAUGACCAGUAAUUAUGAUUCAACAUUCAUUGCACAGCUGAAAUGACAAUGUUCCUUUUUUAUCAUAAAUUUGUUUGUCUUUUAUGGAUUUUCAUCCUUUCAGACUUGAUUGCAAUGAGUAAAGGUGGUAUAUUACUGCUUGGCAUGUUUGACACUGGCAUGAUUUGCAGUUUGUUGCAGGAUCUCAGCCAAUGAAUGCUCUUGCAUUUGUUCUUGAUGGGCUCUACUAUGGGGUUUCAGACUUUGGAUAUGCUGCUUACUCUAUGGUGUUUGUUGGAAUGAUUUCUUCGGUCUUUCUGCUUUUGGCUUCCCCCGUACU